AACGAACGCUGGCGGCAUGCCUAACACAUGCAAGUCGAACGAAACCUUCGGGUCUAUUGUCGCACGAGUUCGUAACGCGUGGGAACCUUCCCUUAUGGUCAGAAUAACUCCCCGAAAGGGGUGCUAAUACCGGAUAAUGUCUUCUGACCAAAGAUUUAUCGCCUUUGGAUGUUCCCGCGUUGGAUUAGCUAGUUGGUAGGGUAAAAGCCUCCCAAGGCGUGCAUCCAUAGCUGGGCUGAGAGAAUGAUCAGCCACACUGGGAGUGAGACACGGCCCAGAAUCUUCCGGGAGGCAGCAGUGGGGAACAUUGGACAAUGGGCGAAAGGAUGAUGCAGCAAUGCCGCGUGAGUGAUGAAGGUCUUAGGGUUGUAAAGCUCUUUUAACUGGGAUGAUAAUGACAGUACCGGGAGAAUAAGCUCCGGCUAACUCCGUG
rnacentral:rRNA from 1 species